rnacentral:rRNA from 1 species
ACGGAGGGUCCAAGCGUUAUCCGGAAUCAUUGGGUUUAAAGGGUUCGCAGGCGGUCCAAUAAGUCAGUGGUGAAAUCUCUCGGCUCAACCGAGAAACUGCCAUUGAUACUGUUAGACUUGAAUAUAGUUGGAGUAGGCGGAAUGUGUAGUGUAGCGGUGAAAUGCUUAGAUAUUACACAGAACACCGAUAGCGAAGGCAGCUUACUAAACUAUAAUUGACGCUCAUGAACGAAAGCGUGGGGAGCGAACAGG